UUAGGGAAAGGAAGGGAAAGGAGUCAAGCAUAAUGACAGACAAGCACCACCCCUGCCUGUUGUGAGGAUGAGAGAUUGGCAGCUCAGGGACUACCACUGCUCAUUAGGAUCCCAGGGAGGAAUUUCAUUCCCUACCUUGGAAGAGUAUAAAAGACCCUUUGUCUGGGUUAAAUAGAAGACUGACGGUGUGAUGGAGUGUGUACUGCAGUUCGGCUCACCAGCUUUGUUCUGUCUUCCCAGCAGCUGGAUGAGAUUUUGAUUUCAGAGGAAAAAGAGCGACCUAGGGCUGACCAUAUUGGACAGAGGGAGAAAGGAAAUUUACAACAGCCUCCCGUGUGUGGUGAGAG